UUAUUAUAAUUAUUAUUAUGAGUUGUGAUCCAAGCGAGACAGAAGACACACAAAUCUCGACAAUUGCAGCAGAUUUUAAUGGUCCCACACCCAUGCCCACCCACCCACACAGACACCAACAGCAGCAGCACAAACAUCCAAGCCAAGACUUUUACAGAAAUGACAGGCGAGCAGAUGUUUAUUCACUUUUCUGCAUUAUGAGUGACAAAAACAAUCAUGUAGUUUCAUAUUUGGGUUACUUUCAAGCAGUUUGUCACAAUAUUUUCUCUCUUUUGAUUUCCUACCGUAACACAGGAAUGCAACACAAAUGAAUCCAAUUACAUUGAACAAUGUCACUUGUCUUCUCGUAGUUAGAAAUACUAAAAAUUGCCUUUUUUGUGUGAAAUCAAACAAUCAAAUUUGUGCUAAACACUGACAAAACGGGCUCUGACACACCAGCAAAUCAUUUACACGUUUCAUGGCUAAAUAUGGUGUUCCCACAGGAAGAAGGCCUUAAUGGGGAAGUCAACUGAAAACGUUUCUUUCGUACAAUGUUCCAUGCAGCCCUCCAUGGUCUAAACACGGUAUUCUGAUUAAUAUUGUGUUUGUGGAACAUGAAUUAAGCAGCAAAGUCCACUUGUUUUUAAUCCAUCUCAGGGGGCGGCCAUUUUGCUCAUGUCGAAUGAAUGAUGGCUCAGGUAAUGACCAAUCAAAGCUCAGCUUCCGAAAGUCACCUGCCCAAAACUCAGAAAACAGAUGCAACAGUGACCCACGACUUUUGUUCAGACAGGACAUUCAUUGAGUGGUUUGUUCUACAAAUACAUAGUUUUACAAAACUGCAAAUGGAAUGUGAAAAUAAAAAAAAGAAGAAAAAGAAGCAAUAGAAGUAGAAGACACGGAGGGACUAAACCACACAUUUGACUCAAAGUUUCAUGCAUUUGGCUUGUAGUUUUGACCUGAACAACAGGUACUUUAAAUGAGAGAAAGGGGGCCCACCAUGAAAUGGUUGCAGAGACGCUUCAAAGAAAAGGCCAUUUGAUGACGCACGCACACACACACACACACACACACACGCACGCACGCACGCACGCACGCACGC